AAAUCAGGCCCUGAUUAGAGAGGAAUAACCCACCUGGUGUCCCAGGUCUAAAUCAGUCCCUGAUUAGAGGGGAAUCACCCACCUGGUGUCCCAGGUCUAAAUCAGUCCCUGAUUAGAGGGGAAUAACCCACCUGGUGUCCCAGGUCUAAAUCAGUCCCUGAUUAGAGGGGAAUAACCCACCUGGUGUCCCAGGUCUAAAUCAGGCCCUGAUUAGAGGGGAAUAACCCACCUGGUGUCCCAGGUCUAAAUCAGUCCCUGA